rnacentral:rRNA from 1 species
GCCCACUGAAGAUUUUUAAAUGGCCGCAGUAAUUUGACUGUGCAAAGGUAGCAUAAUCAUUAGUUUUUUAAUUAAAAGCUUGUAUGAAAGGUUGGACGAAGUAAAAUCUGUCUCUAUUUAAAUUAAAGUAGAAUUUAAUUUUUAAGUUAAAAAGCUUAAAUUUUAGUAAAAGACGAGAAGACCCUAUAGAACUUUAUAAUUUAAUUAAUAUAAUAUAUUAGGAUUUAUUUAAGUUUUAUUAGUUAAAUUAUUUUAUUGGGGUAAUAGGAAGAUUAAAUGAAUUCUUUUUUAAAGUUAACAUUUAUUUAUGAUAUUAAUGAUCCAUUUUUAGUGAUUAUAAGAUUAAGUUACCUUAGGGAUAACAGCGUAAUUUUUUUGGAGAGUUCAUAUCGAUAAAAAAGUUUGCGACCUCGAUGUUGGAUUAAAGAUUAAUUUAGGUGUAGAAGUUUAAAUUUUUGGUCUGUUCGACCAUUAAAUCUUUACAUGAUCUGAGUUCAGACCGGUGUAAGCCAGGUCGGUUUCUAUCUUUAUUAAAUUUAAAUAUUUUAGUACGAAAGGACCAAAUAUUUGAUAUAAUUAUAUUUUUAAUUUUGAAUAUUAAUAUUAUUUUGGCAGAUUAGUGCAAUAAAUUUAGAAUUUAUAAAUGUAAUUAUAUUACAAAUAAUACUUGUUUUAUAUAGAUUUAUUAUUUUCUUUAAUUUGUAUAGUAUUAUUAUUAAUUUGUGUUUUAGUAGGAAUUGCUUUUUUAACUUUAUUGGAACGUAAAGUAUUAGGUUAUA